rnacentral:rRNA from 1 species
UGGGGAAUUUUGGACAAUGGGGGCAACCCUGAUCCAGCCAUUCCGCGUGAGUGAAGAAGGCCUUCGGGUUGUAAAGCUCUUUCGGCAGGAACGAAACGGUCGUCUCUAACAUAGAUGGCUAAUGACGGUACCUGAAGAAGAAGCACCGGCUAACUACGUGCCAGCAGCCGCGGUAAUACGUAGGGUGCGAGCGUUAAUCGGAAUUACUGGGCGUAAAGCGUGCGCAGGCGGAUUGUUAAGCAAGACGUGAAAUCCCCGGGCUUAACCUGGGAAUGGCGUUUUGAACUGGCAGUAUAGGGUGGGUGAGAGGGGGGUGGAAUUCCACGUGUAGCAGUGAAAUGCGUUGAGAUGUGGAGGAACACCGAUGGCGAAGGGAGCCCCAUGGGAUGACACUGACGCUCAUGUACGAAAGCGUGGGUAGCA